rnacentral:rRNA from 1 species
GAUGAACGCUGGCGGCGUGCCUAAUACAUGCAAGUCGAGCGAACAGACGAGGAGCUUGCUCCUCUGACGUUAGCGGCGGACGGGUGAGUAACACGUGGAUAACCUACCUAUAAGACUGGGAUAACUUCGGGAAACCGGAGCUAAUACCGGAUAAUAUAUUGAACCGCAUGGUUCAAUAGUGAAAGACGGUUUUGCUGUCACUUAUAGAUGGUUCCGCGCCGCAUUAGCUAGUUGGUAAGGUAACGGCUUACCAAGGCAACGAUGCGUAGCCGACCUGAGAGGGUGAUCGGCCACACUGGAACUGAGACACGGUCCAGACGCCUACGGGAGGCAGCAGUAGGGAAUCUUCCGCAAUGGGCGAAAGCCUGACGGAGCAACGCCGCGUGAGUGAUGAAGGUCUUCGGAUCGUAAAACUCUGUUAUUAGGGAAGAACAAAUGUGUAAGUAACUAUGCACGUCUUGACGGUACCUAAUCAGAAAGCCACGGCUAACUACGUG